rnacentral:sRNA from 1 species
UGCUUGGGGAAGGAGCCACACUUGGCAU